GACAGAGGGUGCAAACGUUGCUCGGAAUUACUGGGCGUAAAGCGCACGUAGGCGGACUCUUAAGUCGGUGGUGAAAUCCUGGAGCUCAACUCCAGAACUGCCUUCGAUACUGAGAGUCUCGAGUCCGGGAGAGGUGAGUGGAACUGCGAGUGUAGAGGUGAAAUUCGUAGAUAUUCGCAAGAACACCAGUGGCGAAGGCGGCUCACUGGCCCGGUACUGACGCUGAGACGCGAAAGCGUGGGGAGCGAACAGG
rnacentral:rRNA from 1 species